GCCAUGAACGAAAGUUUGACUAAGUUAUAUUAAUUAGAGUUGGUAAAUCUCGUGCCAGCCACCGCGGUCAUACGAUUAACCCAAAUUAAUAGAUCCACGGCGUAAAGAGUGUUUAAGAAAAAAAAUCACAAUAGAGUUAAAUUAUAACUAAGCUGUAAAAAGCCCUAGUUAAAAUAAAAUAACCCACGAAAGUGACUCUAAUAAUCCUGACACACGAUAGCUAGGACCCAAACUGGGAUUAGAUACCCCACUAUGCCUAGCCCUAAACCCAAAUAGUUACAUAACAAAACUAUUCGCCAGAGUACUACUCGCAACUGCCUAAAACUCAAAGGACUUGGCGGUGCUUCACAUCCACCUAGAGGAGCCUGUUCUAUAAUCGAUAAACCCCGAUAGACCUUACCAACCCUUGCCAAUUCAGCCUAUAUACCGCCAUCUUCAGCAAACCCUAAAAAGGAACAAUAGUAAGCACAAUCAUAGCACAUAAAAACGUUAGGUCAAGGUGUAGCUUAUGGGUUGGAAAGAAAUGGGCUACAUUUUCUACAUGAGUAUAUCCACCACACGAAAGUUUUUAUGAAACUAAAAACCCAAGGAGGAUUUAGCAGUAAAUCGAGAAUAGAGUGCUUGAUUGAAUAAGGCCAUGAAGCACGCACACACCGCCCGUCACCCUCCUCAAGCAUGUAGUAAUAAAAAUAACCAUAUUCAAUUACACAACCAUGCAAGAAGAGACAAGUCGU
rnacentral:rRNA from 1 species